AGACUUUGAUCCUGGCUCAGAAUGAACGCUGGCGGCGUGCCUAACACAUGCAAGUCGAACGAGAAACUCCGGGCUUGCUCGGAGGAGUAAAGUGGCGCACGGGUGAGUAACGCGUGGGUAACCUGCCCCANAAUCUGGGAUAACAUCGCGAAAGCGUUGCUAAUACCGGAUAUCGUCCUUAAAACUGUGGUUUUUGGGAUGAAAGAUGACCUCUCCUCGGAAGUUGUCGUUCAGGGAGGGGCCCGCGUACCAUUAGCUUGUUGGUAGGGUAAUGGCCUACCAAGGCUGCGAUGGUUAUCUGGUCUGAGAGGAUGAUCAGCCACACUGGAACUGAAACACGGUCCAGACUCCUACGGGAGGCAGCAGUGAGGAAUUUUGCGCAAUGGGGGAAACCCUGACGCAGCAACGCCGUUGUGAGUGAAAAAAGCCUUCNGGUCGUAAAGCUCUGUCAAGGGGGAAAAAAUCCUUUCGAUCAAUAGUCAUUAAGGACUGAUGGUACCCCUANAGGAACACCCGCUUACUCCNUGCCNNCAGCCGCGGUAAUACNGAG
rnacentral:rRNA from 1 species